rnacentral:rRNA from 1 species
AUGCUGGCGGAGCUACCAUGCAGUCGAGCGGUAACAGAUCCAGCUUGCUGGAUGCUGACGAGCGGCGGACGGGUGAGUAAUGCAUAGGAAUCUGCCCGAUAGUGGGGGAUAACCUGGGGAAACCCAGGCUAAUACCGCAUACGUCCUACGGGAGAAAGGGGGCUUCGGCUCCCGCUAUCGGAUGAGCCUAUGUCGGAUUAGCUAGUUGGUGAGGUAACGGCUCACCAAGGCCACGAUCCGUAGCUGGUCUGAGAGGAUGAUCAGCCACAUCGGGACUGAGACACGGCCCGAACUCCUACGGGAGGCAGCAGUGGGGAAUAUUGGACAAUGGGGGGAACCCUGAUCCAGCCAUGCCGCGUGUGUGAAGAAGGCCCUCGGGUUGUAAAGCACUUUCAGCGAGGAAGAACGCCUAGCGGUUAAUACCCGCUAGGAAAGACAUCACUCGCAGAAGAAGCACCGGCUAACUCCGUGCCAGCAGCCGCGGUAAUACGGAGGGUGCAAGCGUUAAUCGGAAUUACUGGGCGUAAAGCGCGCGUAGGUGGCUUGAUAAGCCGGUUGUGAAAGCCCCGGGCUCAACCUGGGAACGGCAUCCGGAACUGUCAAGCUAGAGUGCAGGAGAGGAAGGUAGAAUUCCCGGUGUAGCGGUGAAAUGCGUAGAGAUCGGGAGGAAUACCAGUGGCGAAGGCGGCCUUCUGGACUGACACUGACACUGAGGUGCGAAAGCGUGGGUAGCAAACAGGAUUAGUUCCUG